GAUUACAUUGGGAUUUCGCAUUAUCUGAGAACAUUGAUGACGAAGAAGAGCAGUGAGAGAAAGUCGGUGGUCAUAGCAGUGGCAGCAUAUUUGCUCAUCACGCUGGAUUUAUUGCCUUUGCAAAUGAAUGCCUCUUUGCUUCCUACUCAGCAUGUUCCCAAUGCCCCCGGUGGAAGCGAAGAAGACAAGACAGGAUCCCCAAUGAAAGCUUUAGGUGGUGGUUUCAAACUCAAGGGGGCAAUUGGCCUUGAUUCCUACAUUGAUUUCAGGAAUAAGUGGAGGAAAGUAGUGGAGUCGCGGAACUUGAGGGUCACUCCCAUUGUGCGUCCGCCCUCGCCACGUACGCCCUCGCCCUCGCAUCAAUUUAGGCUCCGUCCAUGACAAUGAGGCCUCUCCUUAUCUAACAACGUAGCCAUCCAUAUCGACCGUAUCAUUUUCCUUUCUUUGCCCAUGAAAUGUCUGUGCCAAGUCAUUGUCAAUGCUUCUUGAUCUUAGGUAUAUUAUGUUCCACUUCUUCUAUUGGUCCAUAAUAGAUGUGUAACGGUUGGGCCUAUUGGUCAAUCUUACUCUAAAUGAUAUUUGAUCUAA